CACGUAGGGUGCGAGCGUUGUCCGGAAUUAUUGGGCGUAAAGAGCUCGUAGGCGGUGUGUCGCGUCGGCCGUGAAAACUCACAGCUCAACUGUGGGCGUGCGGCGAGUACGGGCAGACUUGAGUACUGCAGGGGAGACUGGAAUUCCUGGUGAGCGGUGGAAUGCGCAGAUAUCAGGAGGAACACCGGUAGUGGCGAAGGCGGGUCUCUGGGCAGUAACUGACGCUGAGGUGCGAAAGCGUGGGGAGCAAACAGG
rnacentral:rRNA from 1 species